rnacentral:rRNA from 1 species
AGUUUGAUCCUGGCUCAGAGUGAACGCUGGCGGUAGGCCUAACACAUGCAAGUCGAACGGCAGCACAGAGGAGCUUGCUCCUUGGGUGGCGAGUGGCGGACGGGUGAGGAAUACAUCGGAAUCUACUUUUUCGUGGGGGAUAACGUAGGGAAACUUACGCUAAUACCGCAUACGACCUUCGGGUGAAAGCAGGGGACCUUCGGGCCUUGCGCGAUUGAAUGAGCCGAUGUCGGAUUAGCUAGUUGGCGGGGUAAAGGCCCACCAAGGCGACGAUCCGUAGCUGGUCUGAGAGGAUGAUCAGCCACACUGGAACUGAGACACGGUCCAGACUCCUACGGGAGGCAGCAGUGGGGAAUAUUGGACAAUGGGCGCAAGCCUGAUCCAGCCAUACCGCGUGGGUGAAGAAGGCCUUCGGGUUGUAAAGCCCUUUUGUUGGGAAAGAAAAGCAGUCGGUUAAUACCCGAUUGUUCUGACGGUACCCAAAGAAUAAGCACCGGCUAACUUCGUGCCAGCAGCCGCGGUAA